rnacentral:tRNA from 1 species
CCUCCGAUAGGACGUCAGGCGGAAAUAGCGCUGCCCUCCGAAGGCAGAGGCCAGAGGUUCGAAUCCUCUCGGGUGC